rnacentral:rRNA from 1 species
AUGCAUGGUAGAAAAUAUACUUGGGGCAAUAACUUACCCCAACCCACUUUUGAAAAGUUGGACAGGGUGAUAUGUGAUGUGGAAUGGGAGGAGAAAUACCCCCUGACAGAAAUCUCUGCUAUGGGCAGAGAGAAAUCUGAUCAUGUUCCUCUAUUCCUAGAUACUGGAGAUGUGGUCAAAAAUGAUCCAUUGUUCAGAUUUGAGAAUGCCUGGCUUUUGAGAGAGGGCAUAGAUGAUUUAGUUAGUAAAACAUGGAGAGAAAAAAGCUCCAAGAAAUCUAGUAUUGAUAAUUGGCAAUGCAAAAUGAGACUUUUGAGGCCUGUGCUGAAAGGGUGGAAUAGGAAUAUGAAUGCAAGGUAUAGAGAGCUUAAGAAAGACAUUCUGAUUAAAUUGGAUAUUAUUGAUAAAAAAUGUGAAGAUUAUGGUUUAAAUGCAGAAGACAGAAAGGAACAAAUAGAACUUAGGGCUCAACUGGAUAGACUGCUGGGACAGGAAGAGGCUAAAUGGAAACAGAGGGCAAAAGUGGAUGAACUAAUAGGGGGAGAUAAUAAUACUAAAUACUUCCAUGCUAAAGCAAAUGGACGUCGCAGAAAAAAUAAAAUUACAUCUCUUGAUCAAGAAGAGGGAAAGAUAGAAGGGGAAAAAAUCUGCUAG